rnacentral:rRNA from 1 species
GGAAUCUUGGACAAUGGGCGCAAGCCUGAUCCAGCCAUGCCGCGUGGAUGAUGAAGGCCCUAGGGUUAUAAAAUCCUUUCGUUGGGGAAGAUAAUGACGGUACCCAAAGAAGAAGCUCCGGCUAACUUCGUGCCAGCAGCCGCGGUAAUACGAAGGGGGCUAGCGUUGUUCGGAUUUACUGGGCGUAAAGCGCGCGUAGGCGGACUUGUAAGUUGGGGGUGAAAUCCCGAGGCUCAACCUCGGAACUGCCUCCAAAACUACAAGUCUGGACUCAAGUAGAGGCAAGUGGAAUUGCGAGUGUAGAGGUGAAAUUCGUAGAUAUUCGCAGGAACACCAGUGGCGAAGGCGACUUGCUGGGCUUGUAGUGACGCUGAGACGCGAAAGCGUGGGGAGCAAAC